GGAUAUUGUUUAGAGUGUAAGUUGAACAUGUUUGUGCCGUCUCUGAGCUAAAGUCUCUGAGAGACUUCUGGAGGUUGGUGAAUUGAUUAAAUGUCCAAUGUCAAGUACUGAACCCAUGAAGUGCUCAAGCAAUAGAAAUUAUUUUCCCUGGCCAGAAAGGAGAGGAAAAAGAUAUGCUGUGGGGCCUUUGCACGGCUGGCUUGCUAUCAUUUUCUCUUUCCUAGAAACUGAAUCCUGAACUUUCUUUGGACACCAGGUAGUUUGAGUGGCUCACGGCAUCGUGCACUCUGUUCUCUUGGACCCCUGCGGUUGCCUCAGCCAUGGGUAAGAGAUUCGUGUAGCUCAGUCAGAAUCUACUGCAGAGCAGUGAGGGGAAGGGUGGGACAUGAUCUGUCAUGUGUGUGUGUUUAUGUGUGGGUGAGUGUAUGUAUGUGUGUGAGUGUAUUUAUGUGUGUGUGGUGUGUAAAUGUGUGUAUAUGUGUGUGAGUAUGUAUAUGUGUGUAUGUGAGCAUGUGUAUGUGUGUGUGUUUGUGUGCAUGUGUGUUUAUGCAUGUGGUAUAUCUAUGUAUGUAUGUGUGUAUAUAUGGGUAUGUGUGUAUAUGUGUAAGUGUGUAUGUGUGUGUAUAUGUGUAAGUGUGUAUGUGUGUGUAUAUAUGUGUGUAUGUAUAUAUGUGGGGUGUGUGUGUGUGUGUGUGUGUGUGUGUGUGUGCGGGGGU
rnacentral:lncRNA from 1 species